rnacentral:rRNA from 1 species
AGUGAACGCUGGCGGUAGGCCUAACACAUGCAAGUCGAACGGCAGCACAGUAAGAGCUUGCUCUUACGGGUGGCGAGUGGCGGACGGGUGAGGAAUACAUCGGAAUCUACUUUUUCGUGGGGGAUAACGUAGGGAAACUUACGCUAAUACAGCAUACGACCUACGGGUGAAAGCAGGGGAUCUUCGGACCUUGCGCGAUUGAAUGAGCCGAUGUCGGAUUAGCUAGUUGGCGGGGUAAAGGCCCACCAAGGCGACUAUCCGUAGCUGGUCUGAGAGGAUGAUCAGCCACACUGGAACUGAGACACGGUCCAGACUCCUACGGGAGGCAGCAGUGGGGAAUAGUGAGCAAUGGGCGCAAGCCUGAUCCAGCCAUACCGCGUGGGUGAAGAAGGCCUGCGGGUUGUAAAGCCCUUUUGUUGGGAAAGAAAAGCAGCAGGUUAAUACCCCGCUGUUCGGACGGGACCCAAAGAAUAAGCACCGGCUAACUUCGU